AUGUAUAUUGGUGCAAAUCUUGCCCUACAAACUAAGCUGAUAGCAGCUCACCAUGAUACUGCAGUGGGAGGCCAUUCAAGUAUUCAGGCCACAUACCAUAGAUUGAAGCAGCUGUAUUAUUGGCCAGGUCUUAAGGUUGCUGUGGAAAAUUAUAUCCAUCAAUGUAUAGUGUGUCAACAAGCAAAACACACUAAUUCAAAACCAGCUGGCCUUCUGCAACCCUUGCCACCCCCCGACAGUCCUUGGACUGAAUUGACAAUGGAUUUCAUCGAGGGUCUUCCUAAUUCAGAGUGUGCAAAUUCAAUAUUGGUGGUCGUUGACCGCUUAACAAAGUAUGCUCACUUUCUGCCCUUGCAUCAUCCUUUCACAGCAACUUCAGUGGCCAAAGUUUUCCUGGAUAAUGUGGUGAAACUACAUGGUAUUCCCAAAACCAUUAUCUCUGAUCGUGAUAAGAUCUUCACUAGUAAGUUUUGGAGAAACCUCCUGCAAUCCAUGGGUAUUGAGCUCCACUACAGCACAGCUUACCAUCCGCAAACAGAUGGUCAGAGCGAACGAGUAAAUCAAUGUUUGGAGCAGUAUCUUCGUUGUGCUGUACAAGACAAUCCUCGUCAUUGGCGUCGUUGGCUAUCCAUGGCAGAGUUCUGCUACUAG
rnacentral:rRNA from 1 species